UCCCUUGUGUUUCAGCUGGUAAAGAAUCCGCCUGCAAUGCGGGAGACCUGGGUUUGAUCCCUGGUUUGGGAA
rnacentral:tRNA from 1 species